rnacentral:rRNA from 1 species
AAUGAACGUUGGCGGCAUGGAUUAGGCAUGCAAGUCGAGCGGGCGUAGCAAUACGUCAGCGGCGUAAGGGACAGGAACACGUAGAUUACCUGCCCUCGGGUCUGGGAUAGCCACGGGAAACUGUGGGUAAUACCAGAUGAUAUCUCCGGAUCAAAGGUGUGAUUCCGCCCGAGGAUGGGUCUGCGUCCUAUUAGCUAGUUGGUGAGGUAAUGGCUCACCAAGGCGAUGAUGGGUAGCAGGUGUGAGAGCACGACCUGCGUCAUUGGGACUGAGACACUGCCCAGACACAGACGGGUGGCUGCAGUCGAGAAUUUUUGGCAAUGGGCGAAAGCCUGACCAAGCGAUGCCGCGUGCGGGAUGAAGGCCUUCGGGUUGUAAACCGCUGUCAGUGGGGAGGAAAGCUUUGUGAAGAGCAAGGCUUGACCUAUCCGCAGAGGAAGUGUGGGCUAAGUUCGUGCCAGCAGCCGCGGUAAAAC